GACGAACGCUGGCGGCGUGCUUAACACAUGCAAGUCGAGCGGUAAGGCCCUUUCGGGGGUACACGAGCGGCGAACGGGUGAGUAACACGUGGGUGACCUGCCCUCAGCUCUGGGAUAAGCCUGGGAAACCGGGUCUAAUACUGGAUAUGACUCCAUGACGCAUGUUGUGGGGUGGAAAGCCUUGUGCGGCUGAGGAUGGGCCCGCGGCCUAUCAGCUUGUUGGUGGGGGAUGGCCUACCAAGGCGACGACGGGUAGCCGGCCUGAGAGGGCGGACCGGCCACACUGGGACGUGAGACACGGCCCAGACUCCUACGGGAGGGCAGCAGUGGGGAAUCUUGCGCAAUGGGCGAAAGCCUGACGCAGCGACGCCGCGUGA
rnacentral:rRNA from 1 species